rnacentral:rRNA from 1 species
AUGCACGCUGGCGGCGUGCUUAACACAUGCAAGUCGAACGAAACACCUUAUUUGAUUUUCUUCGGAACUGAAGAUUUGGUGAUUGAGUGGCGGACGGGUGAGUAACGCGUGGGUAACCUGCCCUGUACAGGGGGAUAACAGUCAGAAAUGACUGCUAAUACCGCAUAAGACCACAGCACCGCAUGGUGCAGGGGUAAAAACUCCGGUGGUACAGGAUGGACCCGCGUCUGAUUAGCUGGUUGGUGAGGUAACGGCUCACCAAGGCGACGAUCAGUAGCCGGCUUGAGAGAGUGAACGGCCACAUUGGGACUGAGACACGGCCCAAACUCCUACGGGAGGCAGCAGUGGGGAAUAUUGCACAAUGGGGGAAACCCUGAUGCAGCGACGCCGCGUGAGUGAAGAAGUAUUUCGGUAUGUAAAGCUCUAUCAGCAGGGAAGAAAAUGACGGUACCUGACGAAGAAGCCCCGGCUAACUACGUG